CCAGGGCUUCUGCUGGCCCUCUUGCGUAAGAUUUCCCAAGUCCGCUUCCUCCUGCACCCGGCCCUCGGACAGCGCAUCUGAAUAGGCCGCCCCUCUGCUUCAGGUCCUCCCGUGUGCCUGGCGCCGACGGUAUGUCCCCUUCUCCACGUGGCCAUUUAGCACCGCGCGCUGACGCUGCGAGCCUUUGAGUCCCACCGUGGGGACAGACGGACCCGGCGGGCCAAGGAGAAGGCGAGUGCGAGGACUCUCCUGAGGCGGGGUCCCAGCACCGUGACCACGGGGUCCCCGGAGCAGCGCACUGCCCUGACACAGCCCUCCCAGGCGAAUGGCUCACUUGGGUCCUGGGGCCAACCCCGGACUGACCGAGCUCUCCGGGGCCCAGAAUGAAGCCAGCGCCUCCAAGGUCUUCCCGCUUGACCGGCCCACAGGCAGGGGCAGGGGAGCCCUGGCCGCAGGUGGCGCCCUCGCCUGCUCUCCUCUCCUUCCCCUCGUCCCUCCCCUCCCCUUCCCUCCUCUCCUCCUGCCCCCUUUCCUCCUCCCCUCUCCGCCCCUCCCGGCGACUCCUCCAAGUCCAGCCCCUUUCUGCUCGCAGGCUCCUCCCCACGAAGGAGACCUUGCCCUCCUCCACCUGCGACUCGUGCUGCAGCUUGCAGGGCUGUUGUUGAGCGUUCCCUGCAUAAUUCGAAUGUUAUUUGCUAAAAGAACAUAAACUGUUCACUGCUGCGA